rnacentral:ncRNA from 1 species
GAGUUAUACUUGAUCAUGUUGCAGUCAGGGGAAACCCUGAUAAAGGAACGAAGCAAUUCUGACGAGCAAAUAGAUUAUCAGUGUUGGGGACAGGAGCGAACGACCAACCUA